GAGGGUAUAACUCAGUGGUAGAGAGCAUGCUCAGCAUGCAUGAGGUCCUGGGUUCAAUCUCCAGUACUUCCA
rfam:Camelus ferus unplaced genomic scaffold scaffold306, whole genome shotgun sequence.